UACGAAGGGGGCUAGCGUUGCUCGGAAUCACUGGGCGUAAAGGGCGCGUAGGCGGCCGAUUAAGUCGGGGGGUGAAAGCCUGUGGCUCAACCACAGAAUUGCCUUCGAUACUGGUUGGCUUGAGACCGGAAGAGGACAGCGGAACGUGCGAGUGUAGAGGUGAAAUUCGUAGAUAUUACGCAAGAACACCGGUGGCGAAGGCGGCCAACUGGACCAUUACUGACGCUGAGGCGCGAAAGCGUGGGGAGCAAACAGG
rnacentral:rRNA from 1 species